GCGAUGGAAAGAUGAAAAGAACUUUGAAAAGAGAGUGAAAAAGUGCGUGAAAUUGUUGAAAGGGAAGGGCAUUUGAUCAGACAUGGUGUUUUGCGGCCUAUACCCCUCGUGGGUGUGGUCACCGCAGCUCACUGGGCCAGCAUCAGUUUUGGUGGCAGCAGAAACCCUUAGGAAUGUGACUUCUUCUUCGGAGGAAGUGUUAUAGCCUAAGGUCAUACUGCCAACUGGGACUGAGGACUGCGGCUUCGGCCAAGGAUGCUGGCAUAAUGGUUAAAUGCCGCCCGUCUUGAAACACGGACCAAGGAGUCUAACGUCUAUGCAAGUGUUUGGGUGUAAAACCCGUACGCGUAAUGAAAGUGAACGUAGGUGAGGGCCUCUUUGAGGUGCAUCAUCGACCGAUCCUGAUGUCUUCGGAUGGAUUU
rnacentral:rRNA from 1 species